UUUAUGGAGAGUUUGAUCCUGGCUCAGGAUGAACGCUGGCGGCGUGCCUAAUACAUGCAAGUCGAGCGAACGGACGAGAAGCUUGCUUCUCUGAUGUUAGCGGCGGACGGGUGAGUAACACGUGGAUAACCUACCUAUAAGACUGGGAUAACUUCGGGAAACCGGAGCUAAUACCGGAUAAUAUUUUGAACCGCAUGGUUCAAAAGUGAAAGACGGUCUUGCUGUCACUUAUAGAUGGAUCCGCGCUGCAUUAGCUAGUUGGUAAGGUAACGGCUUACCAAGGCAACGAUGCAUAGCCGACCUGAGAGGGUGAUCGGCCACACUGGAACUGAGACACGGUCCAGACUCCUACGGGAGGCAGCAGUAGGGAAUCUUCCGCAAUGGGCGAAAGCCUGACGGAGCAACGCCGCGUGAGUGAUGAAGGUCUUCGGAUCGUAAAACUCUGUUAUUAGGGAAGAACAUAUGUGUAAGUAACUGUGCACAUCUUGACGGUACCUAAUCAGAAAGCCACGGCUAACUACGUGCCAGCAGCCGCGGUAAUACGUAGGUGGCAAGCGUUAUCCGGAAUUAUUGGGCGUAAAGCGCGCGUAGGCGGUUUUUUAAGUCUGAUGUGAAAGCCCACGGCUCAACCGUGGAGGGUCAUUGGAAACUGGAAAACUUGAGUGCAGAAGAGGAAAGUGGAAUUCCAUGUGUAGCGGUGAAAUGCGCAGAGAUAUGGAGGAACACCAGUGGCGAAGGCGACUUUCUGGUCUGUAACUGACGCUGAUGUGCGAAAGCGUGGGGAUCAAACAGGAUUAGAUACCCUGGUAGUCCACGCCGUAAACGAUGAGUGCUAAGUGUUAGGGGGUUUCCGCCCCUUAGUGCUGCAGCUAACGCAUUAAGCACUCCGCCUGGGGAGUACGACCGCAAGGUUGAAACUCAAAGGAAUUGACGGGGACCCGCACAAGCGGUGGAGCAUGUGGUUUAAUUCGAAGCAACGCGAAGAACCUUACCAAAUCUUGACAUCCUUUGACAACUCUAGAGAUAGAGCCUUCCCCUUCGGGGGACAAAGUGACAGGUGGUGCAUGGUUGUCGUCAGCUCGUGUCGUGAGAUGUUGGGUUAAGUCCCGCAACGAGCGCAACCCUUAAGCUUAGUUGCCAUCAUUAAGUUGGGUACUCUAAGUUGACUGCCGGUGACAAACCGGAGGAAGGUGGGGAUGACGUCAAAUCAUCAUGCCCCUUAUGAUUUGGGCUACACACGUGCUACAAUGGACAAUACAAAGGGCAGCGAAACCGCGAGGUCAAGCAAAUCCCAUAAAGUUGUUCUCAGUUCGGAUUGUAGUCUGCAACUCGACUACAUGAAGCUGGAAUCGCUAGUAAUCGUAGAUCAGCAUGCUACGGUGAAUACGUUCCCGGGUCUUGUACACACCGCCCGUCACACCACGAGAGUUUGUAACACCCGAAGCCGGUGGAGUAACCUUUUAGGAGCUAGCCGUCGAAGGUGGGACAAAUGAUUGGGGUGAAGUCGUAACAAGGUAGCCGUAUCGGAAGGUGCGGCUGGAUCACCUCCUUU
rnacentral:rRNA from 1 species